AACGCGAAGAACCUUACCAGGGUUUGACAUCCUGUGCUCUCCGGAGAAAUCCGGUUUCCCCGCAAGGGGCGCAGAGACAGGUGCUGCAUGGCUGUCGUCAGCUCGUGUCGUGAGAUGUUGGGUUAAGUCCCGCAACGAGCGCAACCCUCGCCUUUAGUUGCCAUCAUUCAGUUGGGCACUCUAGAGGGACCGCCGGCGACAAGCCGGAGGAAGGUGGGGAUGAAGUCAAGUCAUCAUGGCCCUUACACCCUGGGCUACACACGUGCUACAAUGGCGGUAACAAUGGGCAGCUAACUCGCGAGAGCAAGCUAAUCCCAAAAAACCGUCCCAGUUCAGAUUGCACUCUGCAACUCGGGUGCAUGAAGGUGGAAUCGCUAGUAAUCGCAGAACAGCAGGCUGCGGUGAAUACGUUCCCGGGCCUUGUA
rnacentral:rRNA from 1 species